rnacentral:ncRNA from 1 species
AUAAUUGCUAUGAAGAGGACAGUAGUAAAGAGUUAGCGUUUACAGAGAGAUAAUCAUGUGGUGAGAGAUUAUUACGGAGCUUUUUAUGAAAAUCACCUUGGAGCAGAGGGCCUGAAACAGUAGUAAGGUCUUCCGUAGACAUACGUUAUCAUGUGUUAGAGUGACAAGGUGAAGGGACACUUACCUUGUAAGAAGGGUGGUACCGCGGUUUAUUCGCCCCUAGA